GGAAUGUGGCUCAGUGGUAGAGUGCUUGCCUGGCAUGAAUGAGCCCUGAGUUCGAUUCCCAGCACCA
rnacentral:tRNA from 1 species